rnacentral:ncRNA from 1 species
CCAAAGGCUCUUUUCAGAGCCACCCACUCCUUCCCUCAUAAGGCUAU